rnacentral:rRNA from 1 species
UGGGGAAUAUUGGACAAUGGGGGAAACCCUGAUCCAGCGAUGCCGCGUGAGUGAUGAAGGCCUUCGGGUUGUAAAGCUCUUUCAGAGGGGACGAUAAUGACGGUACCCUCAGAAGAAGCACCGGCAAACUUCGUGCCAGCAGCCGCGGUAAUACGAAGGGUGCUAGCGUUGUUCGGAAUUACUGGGCGUAAAGAGCGCGUAGGCGGUUUGUUAAGUCAGACGUGAAAGCCCCAGGCUCAACCUGGGAAUAGCGUUUGAAACUGGCAGACUAGAGAUUCAGAGAGGUGAGUGGAAUUCCUAGUGUAGAGGUGGAAUUCGUAGAUAUUAGGAGGAACACCAGUGGCGAAGGCGGCUCACUGGCUGAAUACUGACGCUAAGGCGCGAAAGCGUGGGAAGCAAA